rnacentral:rRNA from 1 species
GGGGAAUUUUGGACAAUGGGGGAAACCCUGAUCCAGCCAUGCCGCGUGCGGGAUGAAGGCCUUCGGGUUGUAAACCGCUUUUGUCAGAGACGAAAAGGGACGCACGAAUAAUACGUUCCGCUGACGGUAUCUGAAGAAUAAGCACCGGCUAACUACGUGCCAGCAGCCGCGGUAAUACGUAGGGUGCAAGCGUUAAUCGGAAUUACUGGGCGUAAAGGGUGCGCAGGCGGCUGUGCAAGACAGAUGUGAAAUCCCCGGGCUUAACCUGGGAACUGCAUUUGUGACUGCACGGCUAGAGUUUGUCAGAGGAGGGUGGAAUUCCGCGUGUAGCAGUGAAAUGCGUAGAUAUGCGGAAGAACACCAAUGGCGAAGGCGGCCCCCUGGACAAAGACUGACGCUCAGGUGCGAAAGCGUGGGGAGCAAAC